AUUGAACGCUGGCGGCAGGCCUAACACAUGCAAGUCGAACGGUAACAGGAAGCAGCUUGCUGCUUCGCUGACGAGUGGCGGACGGGUGAGUAAUGUCUGGGAAGCUGCCUGAUGGAGGGGGAUAACUACUGGAAACGGUAGCUAAUACCGCAUAAUGUCGCAAGACCAAAGAGGGGGACCUUCGGGCCUCUUGCCAUGGGAUGUGCCCAGAUGGGAUUAGCUUGUUGGUGGGGUAACGGCUCACCAAGGCGACGAUCCCUAGCUGGUCUGAGAGGAUGACCAGCCACACUGGAACUGAGACACGGUCCAGACUCCUACGGGAGGCAGCAGUGGGGAAUAUUGCACAAUGGGCGCAAGCCUGAUGCAGCCAUGCCGCGUGUAUGAAGAAGGCCUUCGGGUUGUAAAGUACUUUCAGCGGGGAGGAAGGGAGUAAAGUUAAUACCUUUGCUCAUUGACGUUACCCGCAGAAGAAGCACCGGCUAACUCCGUG
rnacentral:rRNA from 1 species